GGCUACGUCUUGAAGUCGUACAAUUCACUGUGUAACACGAUUUUUGUUACUGGCAAAUAAGUGUCUUUUUCCAACUACAUUUAUUGCAAAA